ensembl:snRNA U6 U6 spliceosomal RNA
GUGCUUUGCUACGGCUGCACAUAUACUAAAAUUGGAUCGAUACAGAGAAGAUUAGCAUGGCCCCUGCGAAAGGAUGACACGCAAUCCGUGAAGCGUUCCAUAUUUUG